rnacentral:tRNA from 2 species
GCGCGGGUGGCGGAAUUGGUAGACGCGCUAGCUUGAGGUGCUAGUGCCCACAUAUCGGGCGUGGGGGUUCAAGUCCCCCCUCGCGCA